UACGAAGGGGGCUAGCGUUGCUCGGAAUCACUGGGCGUAAAGGGCGCGUAGGCGGAUCUUUAAGUCGGGGGUGAAAGCCCAGGGCUCAACCCUGGAAUUGCCUUCGAUACUGGAGAUCUUGAGACCGGAAGAGGUAAGUGGAACUGCGAGUGUAGAGGUGAAAUUCGUAGAUAUUCGCAAGAACACCAGUGGCGAAGGCGGCUUACUGGUCCGGUUCUGACGCUGAGGCGCGAAAGCGUGGGGAGCGAACAGG
rnacentral:rRNA from 1 species